rnacentral:tRNA from 1 species
UUAGUUGAAACCAAAUAGAGGUAUAUCAUUGUUAAUGAUAAAACUGAGAAAUUCUCCAAUUAAG